rnacentral:rRNA from 1 species
GUAUGCAACUUACCUUUUACUAGAGAAUAGCCAAGAGAAAUUUUGAUUAAUGCUCUAUGUUCUUAUUUACUCGCAUGAGUAAAUAAGCAAAGCUCCGGCGGUAAAAGAUGGGCAUGCGUCCUAUUAGCUUGUAGGUGAGGUAAUGGCUCACCUAAGCUCCGAUAGGUAGGGGUCCUGAGAGGGAGAUCCCCCACACUGGUACUGAGACACGGACCAGACUUCUACGGAAGGCAGCAGUAAGGAAUAUUGGACAAUGGAGGCAACUCUGAUCCAGCCAUGCCGCGUGAAGGAAGACGGCCUUAUGGGUUGUAAACUUCUUUUAUACAGGAAGAAACCUUUCCACGUGUGGAAAGCUGACGGUAC